GGUCUCCGUGGCUUAAUCUGGAGAACACCUGACUAUGAUGCAGUAAAACUCGGGUUCGAGCCCCGAUGAGGCCA